rnacentral:rRNA from 2 species
CAACGACUCUCGACAACGGAUAUCUCGGCUCUCGCAUCGAUGAAGAACGUAGCGAAAUGCGAUACUUGGUGUGAAUUGCAGAAUCCCGUGAACCAUCGAGUCUUUGAACGCAAGUUGCGCCCGAAGCCACUAGGCUGAGGGCACGCCUGCCUGGGUGUCACGC